rnacentral:tRNA from 1 species
GGAGAGGUGGCCGAGUGGCUGAAGGCAGUCGCCUGCUAAGCGAUUAGGCGGGCUUAAACCCGUCUCGUGGGUUCGAAUCCCACCCUCUCCGCCA